GACAGAGGGUGCAAUCGUUGUUCGGAAUUACUGGGCGUAAAGCGUGUGUAGGCGGCUCUGCAAGUCGGAUGUGAAAGCCCCGGGCUCAACCUGGGAAGUGCACUCGAAACUGCUGAGCUUGAGUAUCGGAGAGGUCGGUGGAAUUCUCGGUGGAGAGGUGAAAUUCGUAGAUAUCGAGGGGAACACCAGUGGCGAAGGCGGCCGACUGGACGAAUACUGACGCUGAGACACGAAAGCGUGGGGAGCAAACAGG
rnacentral:rRNA from 1 species